AUAAAACUUGAACAGGCUGUUUGCUGGCUCCCUCGAUGCAUGGGCACGCUUGUCAUUUUUAUCUCAUUUCUCCUCUGUGCACCGACUGUAGGCUUGAAAUCCUUUCAGGUCUAUGUUUUUACAAUCUCUCAAUGUGUUUGGAAUGUCGAGUUGCAUAAUAUAUAUAUACAACUUUCAGCAACGGAUCUCUUGGCUCUCGCAUCGAUGAAAAACGCAGCGAAAUGCGAUAAGUAAUGUGAAUUGCAGAAUUCAGUGAAUCAUCGAAUCUUUGAACGCAUCUUGCGCUCCUUGGUAUUCUGAGGAGCAUGCCUGUUUGAGUGUCAUCAAGUCCUCAACCACAUUGAUUUUGCUUCGAUGUGGAUUGGAUAUGGGAGCCCUGCAGGCCUUUCAAUUGAAAGGUCUGCUCUCCUGAAAUGAAUUAGUGGUGUCUGAGCGGUGACUUUCACUAUAUGGGUGUGAUAACCAUUUAUGCCUUUGUGAAACGCUGCGCAAACUGCUUCGAACCUCGUUGUUGACCAAUUUGACCUCAAAUCAGGUAGGACUACCCGCUGAACU
rnacentral:sRNA from 1 species